CCUACGGGGCGCAGCAGUCGAGAAUCAUUCACAAUGGGGGAAACCCUGAUGGUGCGACGCCGCGUGGGGGAAUGAAGGUCUUCGGAUUGUAAACCCCUGUCAUGUGGGAGCAAAUUAAAAAGAUAGUACCACAAGAGGAAGAGACGGCUAACUCUGUGCCAGCAGCCGCGGUAAUACAGAGGUCUCAAGCGUUGUUCGGAAUCACUGGGCGUAAAGUGUGCGUAGGCUGUUUCGUAAGUCGUGUGUGAAAGGCGCGGGCUCAACCCGCGGACGGCACAUGAUACUGCGAGACUAGAGUAAUGGAGGGGGAACCGGAAUUCUCGGUGUAGCAGUGAAAUGCGUAGAUAUCGAGAGGAACACUCGUGGCGAAGGCGGGUUCCUGGACAUUAACUGACGCUGAGGCACGAAGGCCAGGGGAGCGAAAGGGAUUAGAUACCCCUGUAGUC
rnacentral:rRNA from 1 species